rnacentral:lncRNA from 1 species
UUGAAAAAACGCAAUCAUCAACAUCACUAUACAUCAGAAUCACCACAUAACUUAUAUAUGACUAUAUAUAACUACAUGUGAAUAUGUAUGACUAUAUCUAUAUGACAAUAUGUGACUAUAUAUGACUACAUGUGACUAAAUAUAACUACAUGUAUAUGACUACAUGUGACUAUAUAUGACUACAUGUGACUAUCUAUAAAAGUAUAGUCAUAUAUAGUGAAAUACACAGUCACAUGCAAAUGUUACUAAAUGUUACUAUAUGUUACUAUAUAUUACUACAUGUAUAUGACUGCAUGUGACUAUAUAUGACUAUAUGUACAUGACUGCAUGUGACUAUAUAUGACUAUAUGUACAUGACUACAUGGUACUAUAUGUUACUAUUUAUGACUAUAGUCAUCUAUAGUGUUAUGUACUCUGAAUUUUCACUUUAUAGCUCACUUCUCACCAUCAUUCCUUAUUGUAUAAAAGUAGCAAAAACAACAAUUCAUGUGGGAAAAAAAUACGAGUUAGAAAAAACGAACAUAUGAAAAAUACAAAUUACAUCAAACCUUAUACGUAUACGUACGGCUAUCAAAUCAAAGCAACAAUGUGACCAAAGUUUGCACAAUCAAUCCAAAAACUUUCCUCAUUCAAGAAGUAGCGUAAAAAUUCAUAUUCCCUAUGCAAUUAAAUUUUAUUAAAAUAAAAGAACAGCAUAUCAACAUCUCCAAGAACGCAUCAUUGUUCGACAUGAACAUCCAAUCAAGAGAAAUUGAAGAAAAGAAGAGAAACAAACAGUUUAGUGAUUUUAAUAUUAUCUACCUACCUUGCUCGUCUCUUCUGAAACCAAACUUUAAACCCGUCAUGGCCUCAAUUUAUAUUAUUAAAAUAUUAGAUUUUGUACCAAUUCAUGUUUUUGUUUCUGAUCCAUGAAUUAAUAAUAUAUAUAUAGAGAGAGAUACAAAAGAUGAUAUAUAUAUAUAUAUAUAUAUAUAUAUAGAGAGAGAGAGAGAGAGAGAGAGAGAGAGAGAGAGAGAGAGAGAGAGAGAGAGAGAGAGAGAGAGAGAGAGAGAGAGAGAGAGAGAGAUGAUUGAGUGUGCUGUGGAGGAAAACAAUUUCUUCCAAAAAUGCGCAAGUCAAAGGGGAAUGGCGGUAGCGGCGGUGAGAGCCUCUGAAUAAGAACACAAUUUGAUUAAUAACUCGUGGCUUCCAAUAAAUUUUUGAACACAGACCAUGUUUCGUAAAUCUUUGUCAUGAAUAUUCAAACGGCUCCACUUGGAUUUUUCUUGUAGAGAAAAAGAAAUGCAUAAACAUGGUACUGAACUCGAUUCGAAGUGGCGAUGGGUUGCAGCGAGCGGCGGAGUGUCGGUGGGAGUCAGUGAGCGGCGUAGCGUCGGUGGGAGUCAGUGAGCGUCGGAGCGUCAGUGGGAGUCAGUGAGCGGCGGUGGUACUGAACUCGAUUCAAAGUGGCGAUGGGUUGCAGCGAGAGGCGGAGUGUCGAUGGGAGUCAGUGAGCGGCGGAGCGUCGGUGGGAGUCAGUGAGCGUCGGAGCGUCAGUGGGAGCCAGUGAGCGGCGGUGGGCGGCGGAGGGUUUGGAUAUAGAGA